rnacentral:misc_RNA from 1 species
GAUGAAGAACGCAGCGAAAUGCGAUAAGUAAUGUGAAUUGCAGAAUUCAGUGAAUCAUCGAAUCUUUGAACGCACAUUGCGCCCCCUGGUAUUCCGGGGGGCAUGUCUGUCCGAGCGUCAUUACAACCCUCAAGCUCAGCUUGGUGUUGGGCCCCGCCGCCCCGGCGGGCCCUAAAGUCAGUGGCGGUGCCGUCCGGCUCCGAGCGUAGUAAUUCUUCUCGCUCUGGAGGUCCGGUCGUGUGCUCGCCAGCAACCCCCAAUUUUUUUCAGGUUGACCUCGGAUCAGGUAGGGAUACCCGCUGAACUUAAGCAUAUCAAUAAGCGGAGGA